rnacentral:hammerhead_ribozyme from 1 species
AUCCAGCUGAUGAGUCACAAAUAGGACGAAACGCGCGUUCUGAAU